ACCACAGCCAACACCGCAGCCACCACCACUUACACCACCCAAUAAAUCAGGUUUAUUUUGCCCUCAAGAAGAAGUUGGAUCACGUGAAGCCUAUGGAAUUUUCUUAUGGCCAAAAACGCCAGUUGAUAAUCGUUCUACACUUGCUUGUCCUUAUAACAACGAGUUUAAAGCGACUCGUGAUUGUCUUUAUUCGCCCCAUGAAACAAGCGGAGGUGCUUGGCAACCAGUUAAUGCCACGGAAUGCAUUUUUCAACAAGCACGAAGUAAAGAUAUAUUUUUACUGGCAGAGAAAGAAGUGAAUGCAGACAACGUGUUGGAAACCACCCAACAAUUGGAAAAAUUAUCUGUUGUUGAUCAUAACAGCACUCUUCAAGCUGGUGACAUUAGCAAUAUCGCUACAACACUAGAAAACAUUGUCGGAGUGAAAGGCAAAGCAAAUGAG